rnacentral:pre_miRNA from 1 species
UUGAUCGAUCCCACAUUAAAACCUUUAAAGGUGAGUAUUUUGCGUGAAAGCUUGGAAAAGAUUGAGGGUCACGAAAUAGUAACCUUUAAAGGUGUUAAUGUGUGACAUAACGAAA